rfam:Tupaia chinensis contig98909, whole genome shotgun sequence.
GUGUGCGAAUGAUAACCACUGACGAAAGAGUCAUCGGCUCAGUUAGUGGUUGGAUGUAGUCACAU